UGCAUUACAGAGCUACAGUACCAGAUCAAACGAAAAAGCAACGAAUAGAUCAAUUAUCGUUUCUUCUUCUUUAGUUGGCGAAGUACAAGGUGUCUAAAAGUACCCACCAUUAAACUGAAGAGGAAAUCUCGAGAUUAAAGCAGCGGACCAAAUAUGGCAGAGUGAUAAGAGAGCCGCCAUUAGAGCCCAAGUGGAGGACCACCUCCAAAAGCCACCAAGUUCAGUCUUUGAGCAAGAGAAUGCUUGCUCCUGAAACACACACUCUCAUUUUCUGACAACCAGAACGACAACAGCAACAACAACAUCAA